GCGGCGAGGGGCGGGUUUGCGAAACGUCAUUUCCGAUGAUGUAAGAGACUCUGGGUAUUUCUGUUUUAUCAAGGUUCUAAAAGUCGUGAGCUUUAUUUACAGUCUAUGGCCGUGAGUGAAAGAGAAUUUUUGCUGUUGUCUGACUCAACUGUAAAGUAUUUACGUAUUUAUAUUCUGAGUUCAUGAAAAGUUUUAAGGAUUUGUGUGUUAAGGAAAAUGAAGUGUGCUACAAAUGAAAUGAGAAUGUAAAAAUGGAAUCAGCUUCAGGAGUCAAAUGAUUACUCUAAAGCACCACUUUACUAAAAGCCACCCACGUCGAAUUAAUGAUGACCUUGUUUCAUAGUAUCUCCGUCUUGCAUGUUCAAGUUGUUGUUUUUUUUGUUUGUUUGUUUGUUUUUUGUUUGUUUGUUUGUUUGUUUUAUUUUAUGCAAUCUCUUGAACAAUGAACAUACAAGGCCAAUAACAUAUCAAUUAGGCUACUUCAAAUCAAAUACUAUGAUAAACAAAUAGGCCCAUAAUAAAAAUAAAAGAAGAGAAAGCAGUAAGCAAUUUACGUCUAAACAAGUACAAAAUACGUCUAUAAACAAGUACAAAGAGUUACAAAUUAUUCAAAGAAUGGAAUCAAAAUAUAAUAUACAGUUUUUUUUCCGCUUUAUUGUUUCUUUUAACAUGUACAAGUAGCUAGUGACUUAUUUCUAUUUUAAAAUGAGUAAAAUUUUUGUUCACUCCUGUCCCAAAUUUUUUCACUCUCAUUUACAUUUGUGGAUAAUGAAUUUUCCAUAUAUAAUGAGUAAAUUCACAAUAUACCAAAUUUUGAAGUUGCCAGUAUUAUCAGUAUUUCUUUCUAAUUGACAUCUUGAAAUUGUGAUCUCCAAAAUCAAAUAGCUAAAGGAACAGUGGAAAUUUGGCAAAUUGAGAUAAUUAUCAUUUAAUUUUUUGUCUUUUAAAUGUAUACCUUCCAGUUUAAGACUAAUAUCUAAGUUUGGUUUUUCAUCUAUAUAAUUUCCUAGCAAUUUCAUAAGUUCUGAGGGAAUGGCAUUGAUUACCAUCAUAUACUCCUUGACAGGUAUAUAAAAUAGAAAUUUUCCUAAAAAUUCUGAAAUAUAAAUGAGGCUGAGUCCACACGUACACGGGUAUUUUUAUACUAAACUAGUUUUUCCUCCGUUUUAAAAAAUGAAAGCACUUGAAAACACAAAAACAUGCUAUGAAGCGCUGUCAAGAGCAUUGCCAAACCAACAGGUGGCGAUAUAACCCUAACCAUAAAGCCAUGUUGGCCAAUCAAAAGUCUGGAAAAAAAGGUUAUUACCAGUUCCAACGUCACAAACCAAAAUCUCCGGUUUCAACAUCUACAAGACAACACUGCAAACUAGAGUUUCUAAAAAUCUUCACCCUGAUUUCUACAAGCUACAUCUACAGAAACAGACCAUCUACCAGAUCCAACUGAGACGGCAGGCUAAACUGCAGCCACGUCUAUGUAAAGACUCACUACAUAUUCUCUGGAGUGACUGGAGCCCAGUGGUGGAUGUUCCCUUAGAAAUCAGCCUCCCACCUGUAAUACGCUGGGCAGAAAAAAAUGGACGAAUGGUACCAGGGAAAUUAAUCUCAUUUGGGAUGAACCACCUGCAAAAGAGUCUGCUGGGGGUGUGGAGUACAAGCUGAACAUCACUGUUUGGCCUUGUAAAAAAAAAAAAAAAAAAAACAGUACAAAGAAAACCUCAACAUCAAAUCAAACCUAUAAAACCUCAAUUACAUAUUCAGAGGCCAGGAUUUCAAUUAUUGCAAUUAACAAUGUUGGAAGUUCACCCCAACAGGAGAUCAUCAUUCCCGCUGUGAAACAUCUGAGCAGUAAGUGUGCUGCAAGUGUGAACUGUGAGUGUGUUAGCUUGGGUUUUCAUGUACUAUAUGUGAAUGAAUGUUUGAGUGUGUACGCUUACAGCAGGAAGCAAGGCAAAAAGGUGUGGGGUUUUUGGUGACGAGGGUCUUAAAGUGUCAAGUCAUAAAUUACUCAUUACAAAAAUGUGAAAACCCUAAUAAUAACCUUGAGGAAAAAAAUAAAAUGGAAACUCAUUUGAAUUUUUGAAUUUUCAGAUUGUGACAAGCCCUCUAAUAUCACCAAAGUAAACAAGUAAAGUAAACAGGUCAAACAAAAACUCAUUCAAGGACAUUGAAAAAGGUAGAGAUAAGUAAUUCAUCCAAUGUAGAGCACUAUGUUCUUGUGUCCAGUGGUGUAGGCUAGUCUACGUGAUACGCAGGUAUACGCCGUAUACCCACUGUUCAAGGAUUUCCGUAUACCCACUUAAAAAAGCGUGAGGAUACGUAACCAUCCAAUAAAUCACAAAAUAUGAUUUGUGGUUUGUUGCUUUUGACGAAAAAAAAGUCUCAUAUUUCCCAAAGUUUCAAGUUUCAUAUUUUGCCCGUUUUACUUCGGAAUAAAAAAAAAAAAUUAAAAAAACCAUAAAUACCGUUUUGGCGCUCUUUAAUGUGAUCGUGACAGAUCGCAGUAGCAGUUCAAGAGAAGCGGCAGCCUGACGCGCACGUGAACUGAUCCUCUCUCCGCUUUAAGUUACCAGUUACAGCGCGAAAUAAACAUGAAUGAACAUCUCAAGGUAUGAUAAAAGAUACACUACAGCUUAACGAAAUCCAUAUCAUGUCAGGUUAUUGAAACACAAAGUCCACAAUAUAAGAUAUAAUCCAGAAUGAUCUCUAAUUUUCACAAUGGAAUGUUUGCAUUUGUUUCAGCACCAAUUAAAGGUCCAGGGAAUGUGACUAUUUCUGAAGUGACACAUGAAUCAGCUUUGGUGAGUUGGCUUUCCAUUCCUGUGAAGGAGCAGCGAGGAUUUCUACUGCAUUAUCUCAUUUGGAUUUCAGGACAGGGAAAAAAGUCCAAAGUUUGUAGUUUUACUGAUCAUCUAUUUGCUAUGAAAUCUUUGUCACAACUGUAGAUAAAAGUUUUUUACUUGUAUAAUAACCAACAAAAUAAUCCAUUAUAAACAUAUCAAUUAUAAUACUGUUCCUCUUGCUUCAGCACUCCAUGGAGUCGAAGCAAAUUAAACCAAAUUAAACACCAUUUCUAUAGCCAGAAAAACAAUAGCUGGUAAAGGACCGAACUCAACAGUGAACUUUAAAACAAUCAAUAGAAAUUGAAACAAUCAUUUUGAAAUUAGAAAUGAUUAUGCAGAACAGAAACUUUUAUCUGCUUUUGUGUGAAGUAAUUGCAAUGAGGUGUGAGGUGUACCUGCCAACAGCAAAUGUGUUCUGCCCUUUCAUUCAGGCUUACCACAUGUGUGGUUGCCCUCUUGUGUACUAUAAUCUGCUCUGUAGCUGUCAGGAGGUGAGAUUAUCACAGAUGAACUGACUGAAGUCCAGGAUUUGUAAUUAUGUUAUAUUGCACACAAACUGUAGCUUUGAUUGGUAGAGCAUUUGAGCUAGCAAAACCAAGUUCAUGGUUUUGAGAACACUAUUUAAAAAAAAAAAAAAAAAAAUUCUGACUUUAUUUUCUUUUUUGAAUCACAUUGAAUCUUGAAUUUUUUUUAAAUCCAAAUUUAACUUGAAUCACAUAUUGUUGCAACACUAUUCCUGUAAUUUUGACUUGAUUCUCAAAUAUUACAACUUUAUUCUCAAAAUAUUACAAUGUUAUUUUCAUAAUGCUACAAAUUUAUUCUCAUAAUUUUGACUUUAUUCUCAAAAUAUUACAACUUUAAUGAUCAUAGGUAUCCCGUCAAAUGUGUUUGUCUGCGUGUACACUGAUAAAAAUAAAUGCAAUUUUAUAGGUAAUGGUCUGUAUUUUUUUUUACAGAAUUUUCCUGUUUUAUCAUUAUACAAUAAAAUACCUGUUGUUUUGCUGUAAUUUAAAUUUCUACUCUUAACUUUACAUACAAUUGCUUGUAUUUUUUUUAUUAUUACAUCAAAUUUCUUUUUUUUUUAAAGGAAAUUUUCUGUAUUUUUACAGAGUAAUGUGUAAUUUUACAUAAAAUGUUGAUUAAUAUUUUACAGAUUUUUUUUUCUCUAAAAAUAGAAAAAAGGAAACGAACACUGUAAAAAAAUUAUCAUGAUUUUAAUGGUAAAAGACUGUAAAAAUGCUAUGGUAAAAAAAAAAAAAAAAAAAAAAUUAAUUUAACAGUUUCUGUAUACCAAGGCUGUAACCAUGUCUUAAACAUUGGGGGGACUGAUUUUUUUUUUUUUGUAAUAAAGUAUAAAGAAACAGAACAGUGAAGGAAAUUUUAGGUCUAAUUCUAGUUGGGAAAUAAUCAUUUUGGAACUAUUUGCAUUAAUUUGCAUUAAAUAUGUUGUUAGUCCCAAGAUGAUUCAUGUUAGUGAAUAAAUGCAUAAAUGGUCUAGUGGUAGAAGUUUUGUUAACCGUGUCAAAGGUUCUGUGAUCUAAUCCACCCUUGUAUAGGUUUUUUUAUAAGAUAUUCAUCAAUGAUUGUAUAUCGAGAGCAGGAACAUGUUUGGUGCAUUUUGUUUUGUGAUUUCACUGGAAAGAAUAGAAUCAUCGCAACGGCAUUAAGCAAUAGAUUGAUGCGCUCGUCUAUGUGAAGACCGUGCACAAGUCAAAAGAGAAUGUAAACCCCACCUACUUUGAUUUGAUUGGCCAUCUCAAACGUUGUUAGACCGCUGAGGCAGACCAAACUAAAACUUUAAGCCUUUUUGUCAUCCUAACAUACAGAGUGCUGGGUAAUGAAGUGCAGCAGAGCAGUGCAAGAAUAUGUUAGAUUUAAUGUUUUUGGAAGUGAAAAAGAACAAGUCAUUGUUUAAUUUAAAGUGAAAAAACAUAAAUUGACAUUCCCAGAAUUCCCUGCGUUAUACUUCACAUUUUAUGUAUUUUCAUUGAAAUAACUGUUUCUUCUUAGUUUUUUUCUAAUCAGUUGUGUACAUUAAGGUUUUAUGUUACGUCUAAUGUUGUUACAUUAAUGUUUAUUGCAUUUUUUAAUGUCUCUGAAACACCAGUUGUGUAAUGAAGGGUCGGCAGAAUGGGGAUCCAUUUGCAGCUUUUAUUAGAACAAUCACCAAGGCAGACAGGGGCAAAGGCAAAGACAUAAACAGGGACAGGCAAUGGUCGAGGCAGGCGGCAGACAAACAGUGUCGGGUCACAGGCGGAGAUCAGGGCAGGCGGCAAGCAAACACAGUCCAGUACACAGGCAAAGAUCAGGGCAGGCAGCAGAGAAUCACAGAGAAUAAACAGUCCAACGGUAACAGAGUAAACAGUCCACAAGAAAACGCUCAGUAAUGAUCACCGGGGCAAAUCAAGACUUCGCGGUGAGUGUGUGGCUUAAAUAGUGUGAGUGUGAUGAGGUGCAGGUGUGUGCGCAAUCAGUCCCAGGAAUGAGGGCCUAUGGGAAACGUAGUCCGAAUGGGAACAGUCAAUAUUCAGGUGAUGGCUCCCUCCGGUGGUGCGGAGGAGGAGGCGCAGGAGCCACAUUCGUGACAAGUUGACUAGCACAAUAUUCAUUUUGUUCAUUUGUUAAAGCUGCAGUCUGUAAGUUUUGCCUCUUUGUUGCCAUCUCUGUUUGAAAGCUGCAAUUGAAGUUAUUUGCGGAAUUAUCAUCUUUACGUGGGUUGUGGAUCGACACGGCUCCUUAGCACAGAUGAAUCUAAUGUUUGCUGUCAGUCGCCACAUCGGUGCAGAUACUGUACUCCAGAAUCACAGAUUCUACGUCUGAAGUAUGACCAAAAUAAGAAUUUUCACCAGAAAAUGUCUGCCACUUUUGUUUUGACUGAGAAAAAAAGCAUUACAAACACGCUGCCAAUGGUGAUUAAAUCUAACGAUCGCUUAGCUCGGAUCAAGUCAAACCGUGCAAAUUAUUAUUAUUGUUAUACUUUGUUCUCAAAUUGUUAAUGUUAACAACAUCAGCAUUGCAUGACUGUGUAUUCAGUGUGUAUUAGCGUUACCUGUAGAUUUCAAUUUAGCCACUCCGCAGUCCUCCGAAGUCUUUUGCAUUUGACUAUGGGUUAAUCUCCUGUUGUCACUGAUGAUUGUCAUUUGGACCUUUCUGCAUUACAAUCCACCAUCAAAAUGAUAAGUUUAAUUAUUCUAGCUGCUGUGAGAAAAGGCUAUAAAUGAUCCACCACAUGCAGCAUCCUCACAUUAGGCUAAAUAAUACCGAUUGAACAAGUAUUGCAUCUCUUUAUCAGAGAUCAAUAGAUGAGUAUGUGCUUCCUGAAGGAGCAUCUCAAUCUCUCUCUGAAACUGGGCAGUUGGAUCUGAUGGUAAGACUUGAUAGUAGGAGGUAUUUUCUAAUUGAUGAAGAGCCUCCUGAUUAUAGAGAGCUCGAGGCAGGAUCACCAAUCCACCUCCUUUAUCUGCAGGUUUGAUUACAAUAUCUUUAUUUCGACACAGUUUGUCAAGAGCCUCUUUUUCAGAAAGUGUCAAAGUGGACUUUAGCACAUGCUCAUCUAUUGAUCUCUGAUAAAGAGAUGCAAUACUUGCUCAAUCGUUCUCCAAGUAGGCCAGUUUUUUUACAUUCUACCCAAGGUACAUAAAAGCUUGAUUAAUCCACCAGGAUGGCCUAUAGUAGCCGGUAACAAUAGUCUUACUGAACCACUCUCGAAUUUUGUUGAUUUUGUUCUGAGACCACUAUGGCUCCCGAUUAUGCCAAUUUAUAUCUGGGCUUUUUGGAGGAUAAAUAUGUCUUCAAUAACAAUCCUUUUUUUGACAAUAUCAUUCUGUUUAAGAGAUACAUUGAUGAUUGUUUUGUUAUUUACAAAGGUUCUGCAAGUGAUUUUGAAGCAUUUGUUUUAUAUAUGAAUUGUUUAAGACCUUUGAUUUGAGUUCACACAUAAUGUUGGAAUUACAAAUGUCAAUUUCUUGGAUACUUGUAUAUCAAUUGUUGACAAACAAAUCGUCUCUUCUCUUUAUAGAAAAGAUACAGCGAAGAACAGUCUCCUUCAUGCUACUAGUGCCCAUCCAGCUCCUUUAAAACGAGUUCUAGUCUGAGGGAUAAGCUUGUUCAUGCAGACACUCAUGUCUCUUCUCCGACCACCCUAGUUGAUGCCCAGGGUAAUUUUCCAUGCUAUAGGUGUACUUCUUGCACAAAAUAUGUCAAAUGUCAAUCAUUUAUACAUCCUCGUAACACAAAAAAAUAUAUAAGGUCAAACAAUCGAUAAUUUGCAAGAGUACAUAUGUGAUUUAUAUUAUCAUUUGUUCAUGUUCUCUGUUAUAUGUUGGUAAAACCACACGUGCAUUACGCACUAGAAUAAUUGAACAUACAAGUGCAAUUCGUAGAUGGGAUGAUACAUCUCCUAUUUAUCGUCACUUCAAUCUUGCUAAACAUUCUUUGUCUGACAUGAAGUUCCUGGGCAUCGAGAGGAUUCUACCUCAUAGAAGAGGCGGAGAUAGAGACAAGAAAUUGUUGCAAAGGGAGGCCUUUUGGAUUUUUGAACUUAAAUCUUUAUUUCCUGAUGGCAUGAAUGAAGAACUUGAACUUUCUUGUUUUCUGUAACUAUUUUCUGCAACAUUAUUGUUAUUUUCAUUACUUUGAAUGUAUAUUUCCUACAGUUUGUGCCAUGUUUGUUACUUUUUAGACUCUCUUGUAGUGACACUUGUGAUAAUUGAUUGAUAUUGGUGUUAAUUGAUGAUUGUGACAAUUGGAUUCAGCUGAUGGCUUUGAAUUGCUUGUCUUUCUAGAAAUAGGGUGAUUGUUGCAUAUUGAGCACUGAGGAUAGCAAUCUGCUGAAACGUCUGCUCAUGUUCCUCUGUUUUUAACUCACUUGCACUUUGCACUUUAUUGCACCAUGCAAUUUCUAAAAUAAAUUGUGUACUUCAGUCUUUUUGGAUUCAGUGUGCAGUCAGGCAUUUUUUCUGUUUUGCUUUUUAUAUAGCCUAACAAAAAUAACUUAUAAAAUUUAUCAUAUGGUGGUCAUAUUAUCCACCCCUUGCCCACCUGUACCAGCUGAUAUACCAUGUAGGCCUAGUCUUGAUUUGGGUGGUCAGUCUGCAUUUGAAAGGGUUUUAAAUCUAGCUAAUCAUGUAAAAUGACUCAAAAUCAAGUAAUUUUAGCAUGCCAAAGUCAGCUUUAAUCAUAUAAAAUGUAAUUUCCCAACAGCAAAAUUGUGGCCAGUGAAAAUACUGAGUGGCUAGUAACUCUGGAAAAACCACUAGCCACAGUGGCUGGUGAGCAAAAAAGUUAAUGUCAAGCCCUGAUUUAUAACCAAAAAAAAGUUAAGGACUGCAGCUUUAAACAAGAGGCAGUCUUGUACUGGAAUGUGUUGUUUUUGAAAUCAUGCUGAGUGUUCGUUGCCGCUGUUAUGGCUUGUGCACUGUCUUUACACAGAUGAGUGCUUCAGUCUAUCGCUUAACAACAUUGCGGAGGCUCUCUAUUCAUAACAGUGAAAUCACAAAACAAAAUGCACACAGACGUGUCACUGCUCUUGAUAUAUAAUCACUGAUGAACAUCUUUGAAUUUAAUGAGAAAAAAAUACAUUUAUACGAGGGCGGAUUAGAACCUAGAACCUAUUAGAACCUUUGACACACUUAACAAAAGUUUUACCACCAGAUCUAGGGCACACGAUCGUUAAAGCAGAUUUAUUUAUUUAGCCUAUUUAUUCACUUACAAGAAGAAUCUCGGGACUAGCAAUAUAUUGUAUUAUAGCAGAUUUUAUUUUUAAGGAUUUAUUGACAUGACUUCUAUGUCAAUAAAUAAAAUUCAAAGUAUUGUAAUUGAACAUUAAUUAUUGUACAUAUCUGAUAUAGCAUUGUAUUAGUAUUUAUGGUUAAGUUUGGAGGUAGACUGUAUUUUUUUUUUUUUUUUUUUUUUGGAUUGAUUGUUUGUUUGAAAGUCGUGUGUAACUUCUGUGUAUGUGUCUCUCUUAUUUUUUUCCCCUCCCUCUCUAGUCAGUAUGUUCUAGAAGCUCUUUCAUCAGAUUUUUGUUAAACAGGUUGACAUAGUGACGACUGAAAGGUUACUCACAUUAAAGGCUGUCUUUUAUCAAGUCAAAAUUAAAGAGUCAACAUUGUAAUUUUAUUCAAAAAUAGCUUUCAAAAAGUCAUGAAUUUUUCAUUAAAAAAAAAAAAACAGACAGUGGUAAAACAGUGUGAUCAAAUUUCCAAAUAGCUCUUUGGCAUAUUAGCCUGGUUACUUCAAACUAAAAUAAAUACAGUUCUGAAACAUCUAGACCGUAAAA